GAUGAACGCUGGCGGCGUGCCUAAUACAUGCAAGUCGAGCGAACGGACGAGAAGCUUGCUUUUCUGAUGUUAGCGGCGGACGGGUGAGUAACACGUGGAUAACCUACCUAUAAGACUGGGAUAACUUCGGGAAACCGGAGCUAAUACCGGAUAAUAUUUUGAACCGCAUGGUUCAAAAGUGAAAGACGGUCUUGCUGUCACUUAUAGAUGGAUCCGCGCUGCAUUAGCUAGUUGGUAAGGUAACGGCUUACCAAGGCAACGAUGCAUAACCGACCUGAGAGGGUGAUCGGCCACACGGGAACUGAGACACGGUCCAAACUCCUACGGGAGGCAGCAGUAGGGAAUCUUCCGCAAUGGGCGAAAGCCUGACGGAGCAACGCCGCGUGAGUGAUGAAGGGUUUCGGUUCGUAAAACUCUGUUAUUAGGGAAGAAAAUAUGUGUAAGUAACUUUGCAAAUUUUGACGGUACCAAACCAGAAAGCCACGGCUAACUACGU
rnacentral:rRNA from 1 species